UACGUAGGGGGCUAGCGUUGUCCGGAAUCAUUGGGCGUAAAGCGCGUGUAGGCGGUCCGGUAAGUCCGCUGUGAAAGUCGGGGGCUCAACCCUCGAAUGCCGGUGGAUACUGUCGGGCUAGAGUGCGGGAGAGGCGAGUGGAAUUCCUGGUGUAGCGGUGAAAUGCGCAGAUAUCAGGAGGAACACCGGUGGCGAAGGCGGCAUCCUGGACCGAUAUUGACGCUGAUGCGCGAAAGCCAGGGGAGCAAACGGG
rnacentral:rRNA from 1 species